UACGGAGGGUGCAAGCGUUAUCCGGAUUUACUGGGUUUAAAGGGUGUGUAGGCGGGCUUUUAAGUCAGUGGUGAAAUCUCCGGGCUCAACCUGGAAACUGCCAUUGAUACUAUUAGUCUUGAAUAUUGUUGAGGUAGGCGGAAUAAGUCAUGUAGCGGUGAAAUGCAUAGAUAUGACUUAGAACACCAAUUGCGAAGGCAGCUUGCUAAACAAUGAUUGACGCUGAGGCACGAAAGCGUGGGAU
rnacentral:rRNA from 1 species